rnacentral:rRNA from 1 species
GACAGAGGGUGCAAACGUUGUUCGGAAUUACUGGGCGUAAAGCGUGUGUAGGCGGCUUUGUAAGUCGGAUGUGAAAGCCCCGGGCUCAACCCGGGAAGUGCACUCGAUACUGCGAAGCUUGAGUACUGGAGAGGUUGGUGGAAUUCUCGGUGUAGAGGUGAAAUUCGUAGAUAUCGAGAGGAACACCGGUGGCGAAGGCGGGUCUCUGGGCCGAUACUGACACUGAGGAGCGAAAGCGUGGGGAGCGAACAGG